UACGUAGGGGGCAAGCGUUGUCCGGAAUCAUUGGGCGUAAAGAGCGCGUAGGCGGCCCUGUAAGUCCGCUGUGAAAGUCAAGGGCUCAACCCUUGAAUGCCGGUGGAUACUGCAGGGCUAGAGUCCGGAAGAGGCGAGUGGAACUCCUGGUGUAGCGGUGGAAUGCGCAGAUAUCAGGAAGAACACCAACGGCGAAGGCAGCUCGCUGGGACGGUACUGACGCUGAGACGCGAAAGCGUGGGGAGCGAACAGG
rnacentral:rRNA from 1 species